UUUUCCAAACAGAAGUAAUAUGCUAYGAAGGCUUGGUUCAAGGUUCAAGCCUUAAUAUUAUUCUAGGUACAAUCUACUAUGUAGCUAAAUGUGGAAGUAAGCUGAGAUAGGAAAGAGUUAAAUGAUCRAGCUGAAAUGUUAUUUAAAUAUCAUGAAUUAAAAGCUCCAGCCUAGCUGCAAAGAAUUAAAAAGGGCACAAGCUUGGCAAUGCUCCUAAGGCCGUAAAAGCAAUGUKUAGAGAGAAAGAAAUCUUUGUUUAAAUGCAUAAAGGAAACUAAAAUUGGCAAAAUGGUGCAAAGAAAAUGUAUCUGGGUGAUCACAAACUGACAGAAUACAAAUCUCCCUCAAUACAAGGAGAAUUUCCAUGAAUUUCAGCAGGGYCACUGUCAAAAAUCUCAUCAUAUAAUAAAGUCAAGGUGAAACCCCAGCAAUUUCAUAGGCUAUUUUUAAAACUGCGUUUAAUUUGUAGUUGCUUCUGUCUUAUCCACUGUCCUCUGUUUCACACUCUGAGGGAUGAAGGUCAGUUGCUCCUCCCAUACCCAUAUUUGCUUUAAGAAAUGUUUUCUGAGAAUUCAGAUCCUCUCUGUUGGCAGCAAUGGGGUUCUCGCUGAUGAGUUCAAUAAAAUGGGAACAUGGAGACAGCCUCCCUGGAAAAUCUGCAGCAARUGGGUGACGUAACCACAGAGGCUUUCUGCAUUGAAAUAAUUAGGACUUUGGAGAUUCCCUAAACAAGUUCCCAUGAGAAAAGAAUUUCUGGGACUGGAUUCUGUGAAACUAAGGAGUACAYUUGUGCUGCUGCAUGGGAAAUGUCUUGUUUUUAAUGAGUUGCCAACUUAAUGACCUGUGGGAUUUCAAAGUUCCUUUUUGGUUUUAAAGGAAAUGAUUAAUAUAUAUUCUGUCUUUAAUUAUAGUGCUAUAAUUGUGUGAAAGGAAUUCCAUUCAUUCUUUUCUUCAUUUAAAUGUUUUACAUUUGUGAAUGUCAGGCAACAUAUUCUCCUAAAAGUCGUGUCUGUAAAAUAGAUGUAUAAUAUUAUUCACUUUCAAAUAUGAGAGUAAUGAGAGUACUGGUAUUCUUCAGUUUGGGGCAGAAUAUUUURAGUCUUACUUUAAAAGGAUAGACAAGUUAUUUAAAUAAUAGCUUGACUAAAAUAAAGUGAAUUUAUAUGGAAAUAAAUGCAUGGCUUCAAGUAUCUAUUAAUGUAAUACUGCUACUUAUUUUUUACAACCAAAAAAUGUUACAAAACAGGAAAUGUUAUGUGUGUAUUUUUGUUAAUACUGUAAAUGGCUAUUAUAGCCCACCAGCAAAUAUCCUAGGAUAAAUUUGAAUGAUUGGUAGUUAUACUUCGGAAAGCAAAUCUUAAUCCUACUGCUCUGUCUGUAUAAUCUAAGGAUUUUCUUACUCUGAAAAUGAUAUGUGACUUCUUUCUCCUGGUUUUUCCCCAUGUAAUCGGCAGAUCAAGUUUUGGGUUUUUAAGAGCUUGCAUAUGUGCUGCAUACAAACCCCAUCCCUGUGACUCAGACAUUUUGAUCUCUUGGUUAUCAGCCAGACAUUUUUCAACAACCUGUAAACUUCUGGAAAUAAACUUUUUUGUCGGAGUCUUCCUUAUACAUAAGAAGAGUCCGAUUU